rnacentral:lncRNA from 1 species
AGCCUCUAAGGUCUCGUUUUCCUUCUUCAGAGCACCAAUAGCCUCGUCCCGGCAAAUAACCUCCCGGGAGCAACGCUCCUCCAAGGCGGCAGCCAUGUGAUGACCCUGCUCAAAAAAUAAAAGUUACAACCAACCUCCGAGCGAAAAACGGCGAAGGAAAAUAUAACACAUCGCAAACGUACAAGGCUAUGGUGCUCAUAUUGCACGCGGAGUAGCGUGUCAAAAUCCAUGUUGCGAAGCUUCUGACGGAAACGAUCUGUAAAUCAGAAACAAGUAAGAAAAAAAUCAUAAGAAACAAAAACCCAUUAGCGGAGGCCAGACAACAAAACUCCGACCAAGAAUGAACCUCGCGCAAGGCAUCAGUCCAACCUGUGAUCGAAGGAUCAGAAGCUCCUGCGCAAAACCAAAACCAACCUUAGAAUAAAAUACAAAAAAAACCAAUGAGUUGAACAAAGAAGAAGAAACUCACCGGGACCAAGAACAUCAGCAGGCGAAGGCCUGCUGACCAGCGCAGAAGGCGCAGGCUCACGCCGCGGAGGAACAGCAAGUCCUUCCUGCGCAACGCUGGCGCCUUUAGCCAACUCCUCCGCGGUAGCCAGCCCAGCAAAAACAUCCUCUGAAAAAUAUAUAAGUAACAUGAGACCAAGUCAAUCAAAAAAUACAGAAAAACAAGAAUCAACAAAAAAAUCUUUACCCAUGUACAAUGAGUUUAUACCAUCUCCAGCCGGACGCGGGGGAACCUCCACCCUCUUUAUCCUCCGAACAGAGGCAGACUCUGCUUCAUCACUGGAUUCAUCCCGCACAUCCUUUGGCGGAGAUCCUCCACCAGCUAAAACCUCC